UACGGAGGAUGCGAGCGUUAUCCGGAUUUAUUGGGUUUGAAGGGUGCGUAGGCGGAUUUUUAAGUCAGCGGUAAAAUGUCCGGGCUCAACCCGGGCCGGCCGUUGAAACUGGGGAUCUUGAGUGGGCGAGAAGUAUGCGGAAUGCGUGGUGUAGCGGUGAAAUGCAUAGAUAUCACGCAGAACUCCGAUUGCGAAGGCAGCAUACCGGCGCCCGACUGACGCUGAGGCACGAAAGCGUGGGGAUCGAACAGG
rnacentral:rRNA from 1 species